rnacentral:rRNA from 1 species
UACGUAGGGGGCAAGCGUUGUCCGGAUUUAUUGGGCGUAAAGAGCUCGUAGGCGGUUCAGCCAGUCGGGUGUGAAAAAUCUGGGCUCAACCCAGUGGAGCACCCGAUACUGCUGUGACUAGAGUCCGGUAGGGGAGUGUGGAAUUCCUGGUGUAGCGGUGAAAUGCGCAGAUAUCAGGAGGAACACCAACGGCGAAGGCAGCACUCUGGGCCGGUACUGACGCUGAGGAGCGAAAGCGUGGGGAGCGAACAGG